AAGUCGAACGAGAUCUUCGGAUCUAGUGGCGCACGGGUGCGUAACGCGUGGGAAUCUGCCCUUGGGUUCGGAAUAACAGUUAGAAAUGACUGCUAAUACCGGAUGAUGACGUAAGUCCAAAGAUUUAUCGCCCAAGGAUGAGCCCGCGUAGGAUUAGCUAGUUGGUGGGGUAAAGGCCCACCAAGGCGACGAUCCUUAGCUGGUCUGAGAGGAUGAUCAGCCACACUGGGACUGAGACACGGCCCAG
rnacentral:rRNA from 1 species